GGGAAGGGGCCUGGUAGGAAGGAGGGAGUUGGCUCUUGUUUAAAAUCUUGGGACUCUAGGAUUGGUUCAGGAAAAUGAAUUCUAUGACGCUGUUGUAAAACCACCUCUGACUGGGCUGAUCCAAAGGCGGUGAUAACAAGUAUAAAAGAGUCUAAACCAGGAAAGUUGCCUCAUUCUACAGAAGGACUGGAAAGAUCCAUCCACCCCAGCGGGAGACACCCAGACAGGGACAGUGACUGCAAACACAACUCCUAGCAUUGUUGGUUGGUGUAGCGAGGGGGGUCCCCUCCCCCACGCUCCUGAGACAAGGAAUAGGCCAGAAGCCCUGCGGCCCCGGGCAGAGGCCUGGCCACCUAUCCCUGCCCCCAGGAAGUCAAGGGGCGGGACCGGAAGUUCAAGGCCCCCUCUGCCUGUUCCCGCCCCCAGGAAGUCAGGGGGUGGGACAGGAAGUAUAAAAACCCGGUCCCAGCCCUCAGUUAGAAGGAGGCUGCCGGAGAAGGCAGAUGUGGGUGUCCGAGCUCCCGCGGGGGCCGGCUUACCCCACGCUCGGUAUCUGGAGGGGUCCUGGCCUGACCUCCCCUGGGGCCAGCACCCAGAGCNNNNNNNNNNNNNNNNNNNNNNNNNGCAAGCCGCAGAGUUU
rnacentral:lncRNA from 1 species